CACGUUAUGGUGGGCACGUCUAAGGAGAACUGCCGGUGACAAACCGGAGGAAGUGGGGAUGACGUCAAGUCAUCAUGGCCCUUACGGCCUGGGCUACACACGUGCUACAAUGGUCGGUACAAAGGGUUGCCAAGCCGCGAGGUGGAGCUAAUCCCAUAAACCGAUCGUAGUCCGGAUCGCAGUCUGCAACUCGACUGCGUGAAGUCGGAAUCGCUAGUAAUCGUGAAUCAGAAUGUCACGGUGAAUACGUUCCCGGGCCUU
rnacentral:rRNA from 1 species